GUAGGUGAACCUGCGGAAGGAUCAUUCAUAAUAAGUGUUUUACUGCACUUUUUAAAUAAGUACUCACCUUGUGUGCAAUGUUUGCUGGGUCGCGUCGUUCACGCGUCGCGUCAUCAGCAUAAUACCAACCUUUUAUUGAAAUUUUUUGUCUGAAGCUAUUUUGAAUAAAUAAUUCUAAAUACAACUUUCAACAACGGAUCUCUUGGCUCUC
rnacentral:misc_RNA from 1 species